GAUGAACGCUAGCGGGAGGCUUAAUACAUGCAAGUCGAGCGAUGCGGUGCUUCUUCGGAAGCACCAAUUAGCGGCGGACGGGUGAGUAACACGUGGGUAACCUGCCUCAAAGAGGGGAAUAGCCUCCCGAAAGGGAGAUUAAUACCGCAUAAUAUGUUUUAAUCGCAUGAUUGAAAACAUCAAAGGAUUUUUCUUCGGAGAUUUCCACUUUUGAGAUGGGACCCCGCGGCGCAUUAGCUAGUUGGUGAGGUAACGGCUCACCAAGGCAACGAUGCGUAGCCGACCUGAGAGGGUGAUCGGCCACAUUGGAACUGAGACACGGUCCAGACUCCUACGGGAGGCUG
rnacentral:rRNA from 1 species